rnacentral:rRNA from 1 species
GGUUAAGCGACUAAGCGUACACGGUGGAUGCCCUGGCAGUCAGAGGCGAUGAAGGACGUGCUAAUCUGCGAUAAGCGUCGGUAAGGUGAUAUGAACCGUUAUAACCGGCGAUUUCCGAAUGGGGAAACCCAGUGUGAUUCGUCACACUAUCAUUAACUGAAUCCAUAGGUUAAUGAGGCGAACCGGGGGAACUGAAACAUCUAAGUACCCCGAGGAAAAGAAAUCAACCGAGAUUCCCCCAGUAGCGGCGAGCGAACGGGGAGCAGCCCAGAGCCUGAAUCAGUGUGUGUGUUAGUGGAAGCGUCUGGAAAGGCGCGCGAUACAGGGUGACAGCCCCGUACACAAAAAUACACAUACUGUGAGCUCGAUGAGUAGGGCGGGACACGUGGUAUCCUGUCUGAAUAUGGGGGGACCAUCCUCCAAGGCUAAAUACUCCUGACUGACCGAUAGUGAACCAGUACCGUGAGGGAAAGGCGAAAAGAACCCCGGCGAGGGGAGUGAAAAAGAACCUGAAACCGUGUACGUACAAGCAGUGGGAGCACGCUUAGGCGUGUGACUGCGUACCUUUUGUAUAAUGGGUCAGCGACUUAUAUUCUGUAGCAAGGUUAACCGAAUAGGGGAGCCGAAGGGAAACCGAGUCUUAACUGGGCGUUAAGUUGCAGGGUAUAGACCCGAAACCCGGUGAUCUAGCCAUGGGCAGGUUGAAGGUUGGGUAACACUAACUGGAGGACCGAACCGACUAAUGUUGAAAAAUUAGCGGAUGACUUGUGGCUGGGGGUGAAAGGCCAAUCAAACCGGGAGAUAGCUGGUUCUCCCCGAAAGCUAUUUAGGUAGCGCCUCGUGAAUUCAUCUCCGGGGGUAGAGCACUGUUUCGGCAAGGGGGUCAUCCCGACUUACCAACCCGAUGCAAACUGCGAAUACCGGAGAAUGUUAUCACGGGAGACACACGGCGGGUGCUAACGUCCGUCGUGAAGAGGGAAACAACCCAGACCGCCAGCUAAGGUCCCAAAGUCAUGGUUAAGUGGGAAACGAUGUGGGAAGGCCCAGACAGCCAGGAUGUUGGCUUAGAAGCAGCCAUCAUUUAAAGAAAGCGUAAUAGCUCACUGGUCGAGUCGGCCUGCGCGGAAGAUGUAACGGGGCUAAACCAUG